rnacentral:rRNA from 1 species
CCUACGGGAGGCAGCAGUGAGGAAUAUUGGUCAAUGGGCGAAAGCCUGAUGGAGCAACGCCGCGUGGGUGAAGAAGGUCUUCGGAUCGUAAAACCCUGUUGUUAGAGAAGAAAGUGCGUGAGAGUAACUGUUCACGUUUCGACGGUAUCUAACCAGAAAGCAACGGCUAACUACGUGCCAGCAGCCGCGGUAAUACGUAGGUGGCAAGCGUUAUCCGGAUUUAUUGGGCGUAAAGGGAACGCAGGCGGUCUUUUAAGUCUGAUGUGAAAGCCUUCGGCUUAACCGGAGUAGUGCAUUGGAUACUGGGAGGCUUGAGUGCAGAAGAGGAGAGUGGAACUCCAGGUGUAGCGGUGAAAUGCGUAGAUAUAUGGAAGAACACCAGUGGCGAAAGCGGCUCUCUGGUCUGUAACUGACGCUGAGGUUCGAAAGCGUGGGUAGCAAACAGGAUUAGAUACCCUUGUAGUC